CCUACGCACUCCUACGGGAGGCAGCAGUGGGGAAUAUUGCACAAUGGGCGCAAGCCUGAUGCAGCCAUGCCGCGUGUAUGAAGAAGGCCUUCGGGUUGUAAAGUACUUUCAGCAGUGAGGAAGGUGGAUAUGUUAAUAGCAUACUCAUUUGACGUUAGCUGCAGAAGAAGCACCGGCUAACUCCGUGCCAGCAGCCGCGGUAAUACGGAGGGUGCGAGCGUUAAUCGGAAUUACUGGGCGUAAAGCGCAUGCAGGUGGUUUGUUAAGUCAGAUGUGAAAGCCCGGGGCUCAACCUCGGAAUUGCAUUUGAAACUGGACAAACUAGAGUACUGUAGAGGGGGUAGAAUUUCAGGUGUAGCGGUGAAAUGCGUAGAGAUCUGAAGGAAUACCGGUGGCGAAGGCGGCCCCCUGGACAGAUACUGACACUCAGAUGCGAAAGCGUGGGGAGCAAACAGGAUUAGAUACCCUGGUAG
rnacentral:rRNA from 1 species